rnacentral:rRNA from 1 species
AUUGAACGCUGGCGGCAGGCCUAACACAUGCAAGUCGAACGAGUGGCGGACGGGUGAGUAAUGUCUGGGAAACUGCCCGAUGGAGGGGGAUAACUACUGGAAACGGUAGCUAAUCCCGCAUACCAUCGGAUGUGCCCAGAUGUGAUUAGCUAGUAGGUGGGGUAAUGGCUCACCUAGGCGACGAUCCCUAGCUGGGCUGAGAGGAUGACCAGCAACACGGGAACUGAGACACGGUCCAGACUCCUACGGGAGGAAGCAGUGGGGAAUAUUGCACAAGGGGCGCAAGCCUGAUGCAGCCAGGCCGCGUGUAUGAAGAAGGCCUUCGGGUUGUAAAGUACUUUCAGCGAGGAGGCGGUACUCGAAGAAGAAGCACCGGCUAACUCCGUGCCAGCCGCCGCGGUAAUUC